CAGUCGCCACGGUAAUACGAAGGGGGCUAGCGUUGUUCGGAUUUACUGGGCGUAAAGCGCACGUAGGCGGACUUUUAAGUCAGGGGUGAAAUCCCGGGGCUCAACCCCGGAACUGCCUUUGAUACUGGAAGUCUUGAGUAUGGUAGAGGUGAGUGGAAUUCCGAGUGUAGAGGUGAAAUUCGUAGAUAUUCGGAGGAACACCAGUGGCGAAGGCGGCUCACUGGACCAUUACUGACGCUGAGGUGCGAAAGCGUGGGGAGCAAACAGGAUUAGAUACCCCCGUAGUCCCUGUCUCUUAUAC
rnacentral:rRNA from 1 species